rnacentral:rRNA from 1 species
GAUGAACGCUAGCUACAGGCUUAACACAUGCAAGUCGCGGGGCAGCAUUCACUUAGCUUGCUAAGUGAGAUGGCGACCGGCGCACGGGUGAGUAACGCGUAUCCAACCUGCCCUUGUCCACGGGAUAACCCGGUGAAAACCGGCCUAAUACCGUAUGAGGUCACAAGCGGACAUCCAACUGUGACGAAAGGUUUAGCGGACAAGGAUGGGGAUGCGUCCGAUUAGCUUGACGGCGGGGUAACGGCCCACCGUGGCUACGAUCGGUAGGGGUUCUGAGAGGAAGGUCCCCCACAUUGGAACUGAGACACGGUCCAAACUCCUACGGGAGGCAGCAGUGAGGAAUAUUGGUCAAUGGACGGGAGUCUGAACCAGCCAAGUAGCGUGCAGGAUGACGGCCCUAUGGGUUGUAAACUGCUUUUGUGCGGGGAUAAAGUGUGGGACGCGUCCCAUAUUGCAGGUACCGCAUGAAUAAGGACCGGCUAAUUCCGUG